rnacentral:rRNA from 1 species
CGGGUGAGUAACACGUGAGCAACCUACCCCUGACUCUGGGAUAAGCGCUGGAAACGGCGUCUAAUACUGGAUACGAGUGGCGACCGCAUGGUCAGCUACUGGAAAGAUUUAUUGGUUGGGGAUGGGCUCGCGGCCUAUCAGCUUGUUGGUGAGGUAAUGGCUCACCAAGGCGUCGACGGGUAGCCGGCCUGAGAAGGGUGACCGGCCACACUGGGACUGAGACACGGCCCAGACUCCUACGGGAGGCAGCAGUGGGGAAUAUUGCACAAUGGGCGCAAGCCUGAUGCAGCAACGCCGCGUGAGGGAUGACGGCCUUCGGGUUGUAAACCUCUUUUAGCAGGGAAGAAGCGAAAGUGACGGUACCUGCAGAAAAAGCGCCGGGCUAACUACGUGCCAGCAGCCGCGGUAAUACGUAGGGCGCAAGCGUUAUCCGGAAUUAUUGGGCGUAAAGAGCUCGUAGGCGGUUUGUCGCGUCUGCUGUGAAAUCCGGAGGCUCAACCUCCGGCCUGCAGUGGGUACGGGCAGACUAGAGUGCGGUAGGGGAGAUUGGAAUUCCUGGUGUAGCGGUGGAAUGCGCAGAUAUCAGGAGGAACACCGAUGGCGAAGGCAGAUCUCUGGGCCGUAACUGACGCUGAGGAGCGAAAGGGUGGGGAGCAAACAGGCUUAGAUACCCUGGUAGUCCACCCCGUAAACGUUGGGAACUAGUUGUGGGGUCCAUUCCACGGAUUCCGUGACGCAGCUAACGCAUUAAGUUCCCCGCCCUGGGGAGUACGGCCGCAAGGCUAAAACUCAAAGGAAUUGACGGGGACCCGCACAAGCGGCGGAGCAUGCGGAUUAAUUCGAUGCAACGCGAAGAACCUUACCAAGGCUUGACAUAUACGAGAACGGGCCAGAAAUGGUCAACUCUUUGGACACUCGUAAACAGGUGGUGCAUGGUUGUCGUCAGCUCGUGUCGUGAGAUGUUGGGUUAAGUCCCGCAACGAGCGCAACCCUCGUUCUAUGUUGCCAGCACGUAAUGGUGGGAACUCAUGGGAUACUGCCGGGGUCAACUCGGAGGAAGGUGGGGAUGACGUCAAAUCAUCAUGCCCCUUAUGUCUUGGGCUUCACGCAUGCUACAAUGGCCGGUACAAAGGGCUGCAAUACCGCGAGGUGGAGCGAAUCCCAAAAAGCCGGUCCCAGUUCGGAUUGAGGUCUGCAACUCGACCUCAUGAAGUCGGAGUCGCUAGUAAUCGCAGAUCAGCAACGCUGCGGUUAAUACGUUCCCGGGUCUUGUACACACCGCCCGUCAA